AGGAGGACCACAUUCUUGUUACUCUUUGAGAGGUAAGAAACUAGAGUUGUGAUUUGGGUGAAGGCAAACUUUGAUGAGAAGGCCUUUCUCCCCCUUGUUGCUAGGAAUGCAGGAGGGAGCGCAGGCUUGUUCUUUCUAACUGUGCUAACCAUGGUGAUCUUCCUCUUCAGGAGCUGCUGGCUGAAUUCAUAAAGGGUGAAGAAAUUGUCACACGUGACAUUGUGCCCCCUCAGUCCAUCUAUCACAUCAAGCACAACCCGCAUCCCCUGGUUCUUCUCCGUGCCUCCACUGGUCGGCUUCCCUGUGUAGACUAGCAUCUUUCAAGUGUAGCUGGAUUGUGCAUCACAGGCCACCCAUUUCUUGAUGCCAUAAUUUGCUGGCUUGCUGGGCAUAUACUGCCGGAAUGAUAUGGACAAAAAAAUGUGCCUCUGAAUGGAACCAGUUGAUCAUCCACUCUUACUUCAGGCCCAGGAUUGUAGAGCUUGGGGGAUUUCUUCUUCAUCUGAAGAUGAUGCAUCGUGCUCUGGGU